CAGCAGCCGCGGUAAUACGAAGGGUGCAAGCGUUAAUCGGAAUUACUGGGCGUAAAGCGUGCGUAGGCGGUGAGUUAAGUCUGCUGUGAAAUCCCCGGGCUCAACCUGGGAAUGGCAGUGGAUACUGGCUCGCUAGAGUGUGUCAGAGGAUGGUGGAAUUCCCGGUGUAGCGGUGAAAUGCGUAGAGAUCGGGAGGAACAUCAGUGGCGAAGGCGGCCAUCUGGGACAACACUGACGCUGAGGCACGAAAGCGUGGGGAGCAAACAGGAUUAGAUACCCGAGUAGUCCCUGUCUCUUAUAA
rnacentral:rRNA from 1 species